UACGGAGGGUGCGAGCGUUGUCCGGAUUUAUUGGGUUUAAAGGGUGCGUAGGCGGCUUUAUAAGUCCGUGGUGAAAGCCAACAGCUCAACUGUUGAACUGCCAUGGAUACUGUAAGGCUUGAGUACAGACGAGGUAGGCGGAAUGGAUGGUGUAGCGGUGAAAUGCAUAGAUACCAUCCAGAACACCGAUUGCGUAGGCAGCUUACUAGGCUGUAACUGACGCUGAGGCACGAAAGCGUGGGAGCGAACAGG
rnacentral:rRNA from 1 species